CCUACGGGUGGCAGCAGUGGGGGAUAUUGCACAAUGGGGGAAACCCUGAUGCAGCGACGCCGCGUGUGGGAAGACGGUCCUCUGGAUUGUAAACCACUGUAUCCAGGGACGACGAUGACGGUACCUGGGGAGGAAGCUCCGACUAACUACGCGCCCGCAGCCGCGGUAAAACGUAGGGCGCGAGCGUGGUCCGGAGUUACUGGGUGUACAUGGAGCGUAGGCGGGGGUGCAAGUUGGGUGUCAAAACUACCGGCUCAACUGGUAGUCGAACGCGAUACUGGAGCGCUUGAGUGAAGUAGAGGCAGGCGGAAUUCCUAGUGUAGCGGUGAAAUGCGUAGAUAUUAGGAGGAACACCAGUGGCGAAGGUGGCCUGCUGGGCUUUUACUGACGCUGAGGCUCGAAAGUGUGGGGAGCAAACAGGAUUAGAUACCCGUGUAGUC
rnacentral:rRNA from 1 species